AUGCUCGACCGAUCCAUCGCGAUGUCUAGCUCGGACGUCCACGCCAUAUCCACCGCUAACCACGAGGAGCAGAGCCUUGCCGCAUCCGCCCUCACCCCUGCGGCCACCGUCGCCCAGGGGAAAGGGAAGGUGCUUGCGCAACAGGCGCCUGUGCCGGUGGUUCGCAAGCGCAAGUCCAGGAGACGCCAGCAGAAGCAGAAAACUCUGCCCCCAGCGGCCACCAGAGAGGAGCUUGAAUCCCGGGAGUCCCGGGAAGGCCCCUUGAAGGUGCUUGCGCUCCCGGCGCCAGGGGCCCCACGUGCUCAUGCUGUCUCCGACGACAAGAUGGUGAGCCGUGCUAGUGCCCCCACCCCGCGUGCAAACGCUUUUUCCGACGACAAGAUGAUGGAGGGGAACGAGAUGAAGCCAGUCCAAGGGGUGCCGCCCAUGCGGGGGAGCAUUGCGGCUUAA
rnacentral:rRNA from 1 species